AUCUCUUUUAAGCAUUUUGGCUAAGAUCAAGUGUAGUAUCAUUUCUUAUCAGUUUAAUAUCUGAUACAUUUUUUUGUCUGAGGACAAUUCUUUUUUUUUUUUUUUUUUGAGCCAGAGUAUCAAGCUGUCGCCCUGGGUAGCAUGCCAUGGCGUCACAGCUCACAGCAACCUCA
rnacentral:snRNA from 1 species